CACUCCUGCGGGAGGCAGCAGUGGGGAAUAUUGCACAAUGGGCGCAAGCCUGAUGCAGCCAUGCCGCGUGUAUGAAGAAGGCCUUCGGGUUGUAAAGUACUUUCAGCGGGGAGGAAGGCAAUACGGUUAAUAACCGUGUUGAUUGACGUUACCCGCAGAAGAAGCACCGGCUAACUCCGUGCCAGCAGCCGCGGUAAUACGGAGGGUGCAAGCGUUAAUCGGAAUUACUGGGCGUAAAGCGCACGCAGGCGGUCUGUCAAGUCGGAUGUGAAAUCCCCGGGCUCAACCUGGGAACUGCAUUCGAAACUGGCAGGCUUGAGUCUUGUAGAGGGGGGUAGAAUUCCAGGUGUAGCGGUGAAAUGCGUAGAGAUCUGGAGGAAUACCGGUGGCGAAGGCGGCCCCCUGGACAAAGACUGACGCUCAGGUGCGAAAGCGUGGGGAGCAAACAGGAUUAGAAACCCCAGUAGUCCC
rnacentral:rRNA from 1 species